rnacentral:rRNA from 11 species
UAGUGAUCUGACGGUACUGAGUGGAAAGGCCGUCACUCAACGGAUAAAAGUUACUCUAGGGAUAACAGGCUGAUCUCCCCCAAGAGUUCACAUCGACGGGGAGGUUUGGCACCUCGAUGUCGGCUCAUCGCAUCCUGGGGCUGGAGAAGGUCCCAAGGGUUUGGCUGUUCGCCAAUUAAAGCGGUACGUGAGCUGGGUUUAGAACGUCGUGAGACAGUUCGGUCCCUAUCUGCCGUGGGUGUAGGAGAAUUGAGAGGAUCUGUCCCUAGUACGAGAGGACCGGGAUGGACGUACCUCUGGUGGACCUGUUGUGGCGCCAGCCGCAUUGCAGGGUAGCUAUGUACGGAAGGGAUAACCGCUGAAAGCAUCUAAGCGGGAAGCCUGUUCUAAGAUGAGGUUUCAUUCGAGGUACCCCACAGACUAUGGGGUUGAUAGGCCAGAGUUGGAAGCAUCGCAAGAUGUGCAGACGACUGGUACUAAUUUA